rnacentral:rRNA from 1 species
GGACCUCGGGAUGCAUGUUCCGGGGUGGAAAGGUUUUCCGGUGCAGGAUGGGCCCGCGGCCUAUCAGCUUGUUGGUGGGGUAACGGCCCACCAAGGCGACGACGGGUAGCCGGCCUGAGAGGCGACCGGCCACACUGGGACUGAGACACGGCCCAGACUCCUACGGGAGGCAGCAGUGGGGAACAUUGCACAAUGGGCGCAAGCCUGAUGCAGCGACGCCGCGUGAGGGAUGACGGCCUUCGGGUUGUAAACCUCUUUCAGUACCGACGAAGCGCAAGUGACGGUAGGUACAGAAGAAGCACCGGCCAACUACGUGCCAGCAGCCGCGGUAAUACGUAGGGUCGCGAGCGUUGUCCGGAAUUACUGGGCGUAAAGAGCUCGUAGGCGGUUUGUCGCGUCGUCUGUGAAAACCCGCAGCUCAACGCGGGCUUGCAGACGAUACGGGCAGACUUGAGUACUGCAGGGGAGACUGGAAUUCCUGGUGUAGCGGUGAAAUGCGCAGAUAUCAGGAGGAACACCGGUGGCGAAGGCGGGUCUCUGGGAGUAACUGACGCUGAGGAGCGAAAGCGUGGGUAGCGAACAGGAUUAGAUACCCUGGUAGUCCACGCCGUAAACGGUGGGCGCUAGGUGUGGGUUUCCUUCCACGGGAUCCGUGCCGUAGCUUACGCAUUAAGCGCCCCGCCUGGGGAGUACGGCCGCAAGGCUAAAACUCAAAGGAAUUGACGGGGGCCCGCACAAGCGGCGGAGCAUGUGGAUUAAUUCGAUGCAACGCGAAGAACCUUACCUUGGUUUGACAUACACCGGACCGCCCCAGAGAUGGGGUUUCCCUUCUGGUCGGUGUACAGGUGGUGCAUGGCUGUCGUCAGCUCGUGGUCGUGAGAUGUUGGGUUAAGUCCCGCACCGAGCGCAACCCUUGUCCUGUGUUGCCAGCAAGUAAUGGUGGGGACUCGCAGGAGACUUCCGGGGUCAACUCGGAGGAAGGUGGGGACGACGUCAAGUCAUCAUGCCCCUUAUGUCCAGGGCUUCACACAUGCUACAAUGGCCGGUACAGAAGGGCUGCGAUACCGCGAGGUGGAGCGAAUCCCUUUAAGCCGGUCUCAGUUCGGAUCGGGGUCUGCAACUCGACCCCGUGAAGUCGGAGUCGCUAGUAAUCGCAGAUCAGCAACGCUGCGGUGAAUACGUUCCCGGGCCCUGUACACACCGCCCGUCACGUCAUGAAAGUCGGUAACACCCGAAGCCGGUGGCCUAACCCCUCGUGGGAGGGAGCCGUCGA